rnacentral:rRNA from 1 species
GACGGAGGAUGCAAGUGUUAUCCGGAAUCACUGGGCGUAAAGCGUCUGUAGGUGGUUUCAAAAGUCCACUGUUAAAGAUUGAAGCUUAACUUCAAAAAUGCCGUGGAAACUUUGAAACUUGAGUAUGAUAGGGGUAGAGGGAAUUUCCAGUGGAGCGGUGAAAUGCGUAGAUAUCGCUUGGAACGCCAAAGGUGAAAACAGGUUGCUGGGGUUGUGGCCGACGCUGAGACACGAAAGCCAGGGGAGCAA